GCUCAGGACGAACGCUGGCGGCGUGCCUAAUACAUGCAAGUAGAACGCUGAGGUUUGGUGUUUACACUAGACUGAUGAGUUGCGAACGGGUGAGUAACGCGUAGGUAACCUGCCUCAUAGCGGGGGAUAACUAUUGGAAACGAUAGCUAAUACCGCAUAAGAGUAAUUAACACAUGUUAGUUAUUUAAAAGGAGCAAUUGCUUCACUGUGAGAUGGACCUGCGUUGUAUUAGCUAGUUGGUGAGGUAAAGGCUCACCAAGGCGACGAUACAAAGCCGACCUGAGAGGGUGAUCGGCCACACUGGGACUGAGACACGGCCCAGACUCCUACGGGAGGCAGCAGUAGGGAAUCUUCGGCAAUGGACGGAAGUCUGACCGAGCAACGCCGCGUGAGUGAAGAAGGUUUUCGGAUCGUAAAGCUCUGUUGUUAGAGAAGAACGUUGGUAGGAGUGGAAAAUCUACCAAGUGACGGUAACUAACCAGAAAGGGACGGCUAACUACGUGCCAGCAGCCGCGGUAAUACGUAGGUCCCGAGCGUUGUCCGGAUUUAUUGGGCGUAAAGCGAGCGCAGGCGGUUCUUUAAGUCUGAAGUUAAAGGCAGUGGCUUAACCAUUGUACGCUUUGGAAACUGGAGGACUUGAGUGCAGAAGGGGAGAGUGGAAUUCCAUGUGUAGCGGUGAAAUGCGUAGAUAUAUGGAGGAACACCGGUGGCGAAAGCGGCUCUCUGGUCUGUAACUGACGCUGAGGCUCGAAAGCGUGGGGAGCAAACAGGAUUAGAUACCCUGGUAGUCCACGCCGUAAACGAUGAGUGCUAGGUGUUAGGCCCUUUCCGGGGCUUAGUGCCGCAGCUAACGCAUUAAGCAC
rnacentral:rRNA from 1 species